rnacentral:lncRNA from 1 species
CGCUUUUACUCUCCAAAUGAGCCAAUAAAAUGAUUUCCACAACAGAGCUUUCCGACGUGCUUAUGUGGUCGAUCCAACUGCCAUUUCAAUGGCCGGGCCUCGGUGGCGUAUGAGCAAUGCCGGCGCCGUGACCGUCGCGACGCCAUAAGCCAAAAUCAAAGCCGACAACCCAUAUCCAACAGCAACGACGACGACAACUUAAGCCAAUCGAUGCUUUUGUGAUUGUCAAAGUCAAAUAUGGAAUUAUACGCCCACCGACAGUGUCCCAUAGCAUUUUGUGCACACGAAAUAUACUACAGCACAUGAAGUGCUUCGACUUGCUCUCUCUCUCUCUUUUAAAAGGAUUUUUGCUAG